rnacentral:piRNA from 1 species
UGAGACUAUGGUUAAGGGUUACAGGGU